rnacentral:rRNA from 1 species
ACGAACGCUGGCGGCAGGCCUAACACAUGCAAGUCGAGCGAGAAGGUUCUUUCGGGAACUGGAGAGCGGCGGACGGGUUAGUAACGCGUGGGAACGUGCCUUAAGGUCUGGGAUAACUAUUGGAAACGAUAGCUAAUACCGGAUGGUCCCUUCGGGGUAAAGCUUUAGCGCCUUAAGAUCGGCCCGCGUUAGAUUAGCUAGUUGGUGAGGUAACGGCUCACCAAGGCGACGAUCUAUAGCUGGUUUGAGAGGAUGAUCAGCAACACUGGAACUGAGACACGGUCCAGACUCCUACGGGAGGCAGCAGUGGGGAAUAUUGCGCAAUGGAGGAAACUCUGACGCAGCCAUACCGCGUGAGUGAAGAAGGCCCUAGGGUCGUAAAGCUCUUUCGCCGGGGAAGAUAAUGACGGUACC